UUAAGAGUCAGUAUUGUGAGAACAGUCGAACAAGAUGAAAGGGUUUGUGCUAUUUUUGGUUAUCGUGCUUCUUGCGUAUACGUACGCUGCCCCACAAAUGUAUGGCAACUCGGAAAACCAUAACGAAAAUUCUUCAGGAAAUUUUAUAACAGGCUCUGAAACCAAGGGUAAAGCAGAAGUUGGCAAUACUUCUACUGCACAAAAGUCUUGUGGUGUGUUAGAAAAGAUUAUUUCAAUAUUUUGGAAUGUGUGUUAAUGAGAAUUCUGUAAUGGAAGAAAGAAAACUGAACUUCGGACUGAAAAUAUAUUUUUGUAUAAACUAUAAUUAAAAUAGUGACAUGUAUUUCUCUCCAUAUUACCUUUUAAAUUAUUAAUAAUGUAUACAAAAUUAUAAAAUAAAUGAUUGUGAACUUAAA